rnacentral:rRNA from 1 species
GACGAACGCUGGCGGCGUGCUUAACACAUGCAAGUCGAACGAAGUGGCGAACGGGUGAGUAACGAGGAAUCAACCUGCCCUUCAGAGGGGGACAACAGUUGGAAACGACUGAUAAUACCGCAUACUGAAGGGGGGGAUUACGUGUGAGUAGCUAGGUGGGGGGGUAACGGCCCACCAGGGCGAUGAGCAGUAGCCGGUCUGAGAGGAUGAACGGCCAAAAUGGGACUUAGCAACGGCCCAGAAUUCUACGGGAGGCAGCAGGGGGGAAUCUUCCGGCAAGGACGAAAGUCCGACGGAGCAAAGCCGCGGGAGUGAUAACGGCCUUCGGGUUGUAAAGCUCUGUUAAUCGGGACGCGGUACCGGAAUAGAAAGCCACGGCUAACUACGUGCCAGCCGCCGCGGUAAUAC